GCCUACGGCCAUACCAGCCUGGGUCCGCCCGAUCUCGGCUGAUCUCGGAAGCUAAGCAGGGUCGGGCCUGGUUAGUACUGAUCGGAGACCGCCUGGGAAUACCAGGUGCUGUAAGCA
rnacentral:rRNA from 1 species